rnacentral:rRNA from 1 species
UACGGAGGGUGCAAACGUUGCUCGGAAUCAUUGGGCGUAAAGCGCACGUAGGCGGCCUGAUAAGUCGGGUGUGAAAGCCCUGGGCUCAACCCAGGAAGUGCACUCGAAACUGUCAGGCUUGAAUAUGGAAGAGGGUCGCGGAAUUCCCGGUGUAGAGGUGAAAUUCGUAGAUAUCGGGAGGAACACCAGUGGCGAAGGCGGCGACCUGGGCCAAUAUUGACGCUGAGGUGCGAAAGCGUGGGGAGCAAACAGGAUUAGAAACCCGUAGAG